GUCUCGUGUGUUCUACUCACUGGCAUCCCUGCCUGGACUGGGAAAAAGUCAUCACCCUCUGCCCAAGCCCUGUGCAGCUUGGCCCACCUGAGCCUCUUGCUACUGAAAUGACUCUCCUUCCCUUAUAUCACCAGAAGAGAUGGGUCCACCUAGAGGAAGGAGCAAAACAGGAGUUAAACUGCAGAGCAUGAUCAAGAGUCGGUCUCACUCACCCUGAUUCGGGAAGUUGGAUUCCACCACUCUGUGGUUCAGGGGCUGGGUCCUGCGGUAAUCGUUGUGGAUGGUCUUGUUGCGGUGAUCCAGUAAGGAAUUCUCCAGCUUCCAAACCUGGGGGCAACGUGAGUGCAUUAUGGAGGGGAAGAGUCACUGGGUAAUUUAAAAGAAAUAACAGUUGGCCCGGCGCAGUGGCUCACGCCUGUAAUCCCAGCAUUUUGGGAGGCUGGGGCGGGCAGAUCACUUGAGCUCAGGAGUUGGAGACCAGCCUGGCCAACAUGGUGAAACCUCUUCUCUACUAAAAAUUAGCUGAUCAUGGUUGUGUGCACCUGUAAUCCCAGCUACUCAGGAGGCUGAGGCAGGAGAAUCGCUUGAACCUGGGAGGCAGAGGCUGCAGUAAGCCAGUAUCACGCAACCGCACUCCAGCCUGGGAGACAGAGAGAAACUCUGUCUCAAAAAAAAUAAAAAAUAAAAAAGAAUUAACAACUGGGCUAGAGUUUGGAUUUAUAUAACCCUGAUGAAGUGACUGUAAGAAGAUCUCAAGUCCAGGGGAGGUUCUGGGUGCUGUGUCUCAGGCAUUAUUCCAGAACUAAUCUAUCCGUGCAUUCUUCCAACAGGUAUCUGCACACAAGCUCUCUUUUCAGCUUUUUAUAUGAGUAUUUGUCCAGUAGUAGAAAGGAGAGAAAGAAGAAGCAGAAAUAUAUCAAGUGGCAAACUCAAUUUUUGUUUUUCUGAAAAUGUCAGGUUUUUCUCUUUUUUUUUUUUUUUUUUUUUUGAGACCAGAGUCUCGCUCUGUCGCCAGGCUGGAGUGCAGUGACGCGAUUGCGGCUCACUGCAACCUCCACCUCCCGGGUUCAAGUUAUUCUCUCCUGCCUCAGCCUCCUGACUAGCUGGGACUACAGGCACCCACCCACACACCCAGAUAAUUUUUAUAUUUUUAGUAGAGAUGGGGUUUCACCAUGUGGGCCAGGCUGGUCUCAAACUCCUCAGGCCAUUCGCCCACUCAGCCUCCCAUAGUGCUGGAAUUACAGGUAUGAACCACCUCACCUGACCUGAAAAUGUCUGUAUUUUGUCUAUAUCCUUGAAAGGCAUCUUUGCUGCACAUACAAUUCUAUAUUGGCUAUUUUUUUUCCCUCGGCACUUUGAAAUUAUGUUUCCACUCCCUUCUGACUUUCACUGUGGCUGUUAAAUCAACUCUCUGUCUAAUAAUACUCUUUUCAUGAUAAUCUGUCUUUUCUUUCUGGCUAAUUUUUAAAUAGUUUCUUUGUCUUUGAUGAUUUCAAUGUGAUGCGUUUACUGCAGGAUGUUGUGUAUACACACACACACAUAUCUACACACCCAGAGAGAGAGAGAGACAGAGAGAGAAACUAAUUGGCAUUCUUGAAUAUAUGACUUGGUAUCUCUUCCUGAAAAUUGUCAGCCAAUAUUUUGUCAAAUCAUGCCUCUUCCCUACUCUGCCUCUCUUCUCCUUCUAGGAUUUUGAUUAGACAUUUACUAGACCUUUCCAGUACACAAUGUCUCUUCACUUCUUUUCAUAGUUCCAUCUCCUUUUCUCUGUGCUGCAUUCUAGAUAAUGUUAUUGGCUGUCUCCAAUUUACUAAUUCUCUCUCAAACUGUAUCUAACAUGCGUUAAACCCAUUCAUUGGGUUUUUGUUUUUGUUUUUUUGAGAUGGAGUCUUGCCCUGUUGCCCAGGCUGGAGUGCAAUGGCAUGAUCUCAGCUCACUGCAACAUCCGCCUCCUGGGUUCAAGCGAUUCUCCUGCCUCAGCCUCCUGAGUGGCUGGGAUUAUAGGUUCACACCACUAUGCCCGGCUAAUUUUUUGUAUCUUUAGUAGAGACAGGGUUUCACCAUGUUGGCCAGGCUGGUCUCGAACCCCUGACCUCGUGAUCCACCCGCUUUGGCGUCCCAAAGUGCUGGGAUUACAGGCUUGAGCCACCGUGCCCAGCAAACUUUUUUUUUUUUUGAGACAGGGUUUUGCUCUGUUGCCCAGGCUGGAGUGCAGUAGUGCAAUCUUGGCUCACUGCAACCUCCACGUCCCAGGUUCAAGUGAUUCUUCCACCUCAGCCUCUGGGGUAGCUGGGAUUACAAGCGCCCCACCACCACGACUGGCUAAUUUUUUGUACUUUUAGUAGAGACGGGGUUCCACCAUGUUGGCCAGGCUGAUCUCAAACUCCUGACCUCAGGUGAUCCACCCACUUUGGCCUCCCAAAGUGCUGGGAUUACAGGCAUGAGACACCACAACUGGCCUGGAUUAUUAAUUUUUGAUACUAUUUUUCCAUUUCUAGAAAUUCUAUUUGAGUUUUUGUCCCAAGUCUGGAUGUCCAUUUUUAUACUUUUUUGCUCUUUUCUCAUAUUUAAACCUUUUAUUUCUUUAUACAUGUUAAACAUUCUUAUGUCAUAUUAAUUGUCUGAUAAUUCCACUAACUGAAGUCUUUGUAGGUCUGAUUCUGCUGGUUCUCAUCUAUAAUGUCUUUUUUUCUCAUAUGUUUUGUAUUUUUUUUUCUUAAUUGAGCUAAUUUCAAGUAACUUUAUUUGUGAAAAUUCUUCUAGGUCUGGAUUUAAGGUCAUUUUCCCAGAGAUAAUUUACCAUUUGCUUUUGUCAGGUGUCUGGGGGCACUUCUAGCCUGACUGGCAACAUUUUGGAGUGUGAGUGUCCUUGAGCAGGGGUCUUUUCCACCUUUUUCUAAGGAAAUGAAAAGUUUAAGAAAAGGAGAUGGCCGGGUGCAGUGGCUCACACCUGUAAUCCCAGCACUUUGGGAGGCUGAGACAGGCAGACUGCUUGAACCUGGGAGUUUGAGACCUGCCUGGGCAACAUAAUAAAACCCUGUCCCUACUAAAAAUAAAAACUAGCCGGGCGUGGUGGCACACUCCUGGAGUCCCAGCUACUCGGGAGGCUGAGGCAGGAGAAUUGCUUGAACCUGGGAGGCGGAGGUUGCAGUGAGCUGAGAUCGUGCCACUGCACUCCAGCCCAGGUGACAGAGCGAGACUCUGUCUCACAAAAAAAAAAAAAAAAAAAAGGUUGGCUAGACGAGGCACAGUAGCCCUGCACACAGAAAAUACUGUAGGACCCCUUAGUUGUUGACGUUCGUUGAGAUGCUGGGGAGAACCCUUGUUAACCAGGCAAUCGAAUGGGAAGACUUCGGCAAAGUGAUACCAUACAUUACCUGUGUCCUGGAGAGCUUGACAAAAUCUGCCAGCACAAACCAGUGGACGUUCUCAGUGCAGGGAGGCGUGGUGAGUGAGCCAUGGUAGGUGUAGUAGUGCUGGAGGUUCCUGGGCAGCAUGUCCUGAACGUCAAGGCCAGUCAGGGUUGUUCUUUGUCCUGACCAAGAAGACAGAAGGUAACAGAAUGUCAGGGACCAGCGCUGCCCCUCGGGAGGACAGCUCAGGCCCAGGCCUCGCCAGGUUCCAAUCUCUUGAGUUCAGCAGAACAUAGAAGCUGAUGAUUAAGAAACAAUUUCCCAGUUUACUUCUUCCUGGAAGGGAUUGAGAGGAGAGACUUUGGGGAUAGACGCACUCAGACACCUGCUCCUGGCUGAGUGCUCUUGGCCGGGUGCUCACCCUGCGGCCAUUUUCUCAUCUGUAGAAAGGGAAUAAUCAGCAGGAUUGUUGUGAGGGUAAGAAGGAAUAACGUCUGGAAAGCAGCUGGCAUUGAACCACUACAUAGGGAAGUACUCCUAAGUGUAACUGCUGCGGUCACCAUUAUCAUGGCUAGGCAGAGGACACAUUUUAUGAUCAAUGAAAGAAAUAAAUAUGGCCCCUGGAGACUUCUGGGUAAGUGCCCUUGAAGAAAGACCAAAAUGCCUUGGUUUGGGCUCAUUGAGAAGUGGGUAGACAACAGUUGUAAAUGCAGAAUCAGGCCAGGCGCAGUGGCUCACGCUUGUAAUCUCAACACUCUGGGAGGCCAAGGCGGGAGGAUUGCUUGGGGCCAAGAGUUCAAGACCAGCCUGGGCAACACAGGGAGGCCCCGUCUCUACAAUAAGUUGUUUUUUUUAUUAUUUUUUUAAAUAAUAAAUGCAGAAUCAGAACCAAGCCAGGGUCCAGGUACAGGCAUUUGGUCCUGAGCUCUUCCUGCCACAACCGCUGGAAACCAAGCCCAGCCACAGGUGGGGCGUAGGGUGGGGCCACUUCCACCAGGCCUGCAAAACUCCUGCAGCAGCCACACCUGCUCCUGCUCUAGAGAGGUCCUUGUUUCAUUCAUGUCAACAACACUGAGCCCCUGAGCUCAGCACAAGACUCUCAAGGCAACACAGGAUUGAGUUGGAUUUUGCUUCACUUUCCCUGAGCACUUCUGCGCUUCUUAAAGGCAGAGAACAUAGUUUUGAUACAUACGUAGAUAGGCCUGUUCAACCAAGGCCACAAUGUCUCAGAGUGCAUAAGCCCAUGAGUAGGCAAAAGAGUUCUAAGUUUGAUUAUUAUUGGAAGAUUUCAAGAUAUAACCUCCAAAAGGGCUCUGUGGUAGAGAUUUAUUUUUGUAACUCUAAUAUAUUUAAGUGAAAGUCAAGAAUUCCAGAAUCAUGAUGCAGCCACCACGGAAAAUGGUAUAAUAGUUCCUCAAAAAAUAAACAUACGGCCAGGUAUGGUGGCUC
rnacentral:lncRNA from 1 species